GUUACUUUGGCAGACUAGUGCAAUUGAUUUAGGAUCUUUAAAUGUAUAUUUACAGGUAAUA
rnacentral:tRNA from 1 species